UGAUGGAUCUCUGGAAAGUAUCCGAAGUUAAGUCGGAUCGCCGUAGGAGCAAUGCAUUUAUGUAGAAUCUCUCAGGUAAAUUACAGGGAAUAUGGU
rnacentral:ncRNA from 1 species